AAUAAACACAAAAAAGAGGGUACGGGUUCCCACCCAGAAAGUUAAGGACCUGCAGAGCUCCCCUUCCCCAAAUGAGCAAUCUGCUCAACCAAUGGGGGCACCAUUGGUCCAUCACUCUACCAGGGCCAUACACCCAGACCAUCACCAUAUGGCCUCAACACCUCUGGUCCAUCACCCGGUGGUGGCCAUGCAGCUGGCCCCCCAGCUACUGGGGUCAGUCCACCUGACAGCGGAAAAGCAGUUUGCCUGGUGCCAUACAGGAGAGAUGCAGGCAUAUCAUCUGACAAGAGCAACAUCCCCGCAGCAGAAAAUGCAUGGACGCCAUGUGAUGGACAUAGGGGGAGGUCGAAAAAAUCCUACAUGAAAAGAGAAGGAUUGAUGAAGUCAUCUCGAGAAUAGAUCCAAGCCAGGUCAGAGAGCUUCAGACUCUUUGCAACCUCAUUGGAGAGAGGCAUCACGACAGCCCGUCUUCACCAUCGGGCCAGCAGGAGCUCUUUCCUG